CCUUGCCCAUUUGAGGGGGAUACCAGUUGGAAACGACUGUUAAUACCGCAUAAUAUCUGUGGAUUAAAGGUGGCUUUCGGGCUGUCGCAGAUGGAUGAGCCUGCGUUGGAUUAGCUAGUUGGUGGGGUAAGGGCCCACCAAGGCUACGAUCCAUAGCUGAUUUGAGAGGAUGAUCAGCCACAUUGGGACUGAGACACGGCCCAAACUCCUACGGGAGGCAGCAGUGGGGAAUAUUGGACAAUGGGGGCAACCCUGAUCCAGCAAUGCCAUGUGUGUGAAGAAGGCCCUAGGGUUGUAAAGCACUUUAGUUGGGGAGGAAAGCCUCAAGGUUAAUAGCCUUGGGGAGGACGUUACCCAAAGAAUAAGCACCGGCUAACUCCGUGCCAGCAGCCGCGGUAAUACGGGGGGUGCAAGCGUUAAUCGGAAUUACUGGGCGUAAAGGGUCUGUAGGUGGUUUGUUAAGUCAGAUGUGAAAGCCCAGGGCUCAACCUUGGAACUGCAUUUGAUACUGGCAAACUAGAGUACGGUAGAGGAAUGGGGAAUUUCUGGUGUAGCGGUGAAAUGCGUAGAGAUCAGAAGGAACACCAAUGGCGAAGGCAACAUUCUGGACCGAUACUGACACUGAGGGACGAAAGCGUGGGGAUCAAACAGGAUUAGAUACCCUGGUAGUCCACGCUAUAAACGAUGAGUACUAGCUGUUGGAGUCGGUGUAAAGGCUCUAGUGGCGCAGCUAACGCGAUAAGUACUCCGCCUGGGGACUACGGCCGCAAGGCUAAAACUCAAAGGAAUUGACGGGGACCCGCACAAGCGGUGGAGCAUGUGGUUUAAUUCGAUGCAACGCGAAGAACCUUACCUGGUCUUGACAUCCUGCGAACUUUCUAGAGAUAGAUUGGUGCCUUCGGGAACGCAGUGACAGGUGCUGCACGGCUGUCGUCAGCUCGUGUUGUGAAAUGUUGGGUUAAGUCCCGCAACGAGCGCAACCCCUAUUGAUAGUUACCAUCAUUAAGUUGGGUACUCUAUUGAGACUGCCGCUGACAAGGCGGAGGAAGGUGGGGACGACGUCAAGUCAUCAUGGCCCUUACGACCAGGGCUACACACGUGCUACAAUGGGUAUUACAGAGGGCUGCGAAGGUGCGAGCUGGAGCGA
rnacentral:rRNA from 1 species